UUUGGUGGUUAAAGUGAGAUUACUAAUUUAAAGUAGAGAAAUAGUAAGCAUAUAAUUGUAUGAUUAAAUAAUAAAACUUGGCUCUGAUUUUAGGUAUGGCGUGCACUAAGGAAUACACAUGGCUUUUUUAGAGAGAGGUGAGGUGGAAAGUAGGUUGUUAGAAUAUUAGCGUAAAGCUGUGAUGACAUGAUUUUCUGGGAUGUUAUAGUGAACACGAUAUCCUGAAAUACCCACUAACACCAGUGUUGAAGAUUAAGGAAAGGGCGAAAGCCUGUAUUAGUUUAGUGAGUAAAAUUUGGUUAAUUUGGUGCCAGCAUCCGCGGUUAAACCAAGAAAUUCAGUCAUUCUUUUACGGUAAAAAGACAGUUAUACAAGUAACAUGAUCAUUAGACCUUUAGUAGAGGAGUAAAAUCUAUAUACUAAAAGUUAUACUGGAUAUGAUUUAUUGAAGAUGUUGAAUCUGUGACAGCUUUAAGGGAAACUGGGAUUGGAUACCCCAUUAUUUAUAGUCGUAAAUUUAGUUUAAACUUACCAGAGUACUACGAAUAAAAAAUUUAAAACUCAAAGGGCUUGGCGGUGUUUUAGACCUCUCAGGGGAACCUGUCUCGUAAUCGACAAUCCACGUUAGACCUAACCCUUUGUGGUAAUUCAGCCUGUAUACCGUCGUCGUCAGGUAACUUCUUAAAAUAUAGUAGUUAGCUCGAGAACAUUAUUAAUUGAAACGUCAGAUCAAGGUGCAGCUAAUAAAAGGGUGAGGAUGGGUUACAAUUACAGAUUUGUAAAUACGGAAAACAUUUGAAAUGAAGUGUCUUAAAGGAGGACUUGAAAGUAAUUUUAAUUAUAUAAAUAAAAUGAAUAAGGCUCUGAAACGUGCACACAUCGCCCGUCGCUCUCGUUGAAAAAUGAGAUAAGUCGUAACAUAGUAGGGGUAAUGGAAAUUGUUCCUAGGCUG
rnacentral:ncRNA from 1 species